rnacentral:rRNA from 1 species
UUAGAUACCCUAUUAUUUAAAAUGUAAAUAUAAAAAANUAAGUGAUUAAUAGUUAAGUUCUUUAAAGCUAAAUAAUUUGGCGGUAUUUUAAACUUUUCAGAGGAACCUGUUCUGUAAUUGAUAAUCCACGAUUGAAUUAACUUUAAUUAGAAAUUUUUAUAUCGUCGUUGUUAAAUAUUUUAAAAGAACAUAAUAUUUAAAAAUUUUUUUAGAAAGUAAAUCAGAUCAAGGUGAAGUUAAUAUUAAAGAAGAAAUGGGUUACAAUAAAUUUUAUUUAUGAAUUUUUAAUUGAAAAUUUAAUUUGAAAUUGGAUUUGAAAGUAAUUAAUUA